CGAUAGGGGGAUCCCAAGUGCACAGGCAUAGCGCCUGUGCUUUUCGACACCCUAAGGCGGUGUCAGAAUAAGGGCUGGGCAAGACCGGUGCCAGCCGCCGCGGUAAUACCGGCAGCCCAAGUGAUGGCCGAUCUUAUUGGGCCUAAAGCGUCCGUAGCUGGCCACGCAAGUCCAUCGGGAAAUCCACCUGCCCAACAGGUGGGCGCCCGGUAGAAACUGCGUGGCUUGGGACCGGAAGGCGCGACGGGUACGUCCGGGGUAGGAGUGAAAUCCCGUAAUCCUGGACGGACCGCCGAUGGCGAAAGCACGUCGCGAGAACGGAUCCGACAGUGAGGGACGAAAGCCAGGGUCUCGAACCGGAUUAGAUACCCGGGUAGUCCUGGCCGUAAACAAUGUCUGCUAGGUGUGGCUCCCACUACGAGUGGGUGCUGUGCCGUAGGGAAGCCGCUAAGCAGACCGCCUGGGAAGUA
rnacentral:rRNA from 1 species